CUCUUUUCUCUGCUUCAAGUUUAAGCAUGUCGGAGCGAAAUCUCUUUCUUCUUCUUCACUGCGUUUUACGCUAUUUCUUUUACCCAGAGCUCUCCGACCGACACAAAUGGGGGACGUAAUACUCUCAGAUCCGUGGACUCUAAUCUGAUUCCGAUUUGUGCGAUAAUCGGACUCGUCUUCUCUCUGUCUCUCUCUCGCGCUUGUACAGUGGUUAUCGUCUCCAAACUCAAGAACGACUUCUCAACGACCAUAACGUCGUCCUUAAAUGCGCCGAAAUUCAGAAUACCAGAUCUGAAGGUUUGCAUAUGAUGGGCGAUAUAUUUCAUCUCCAACCUCGUUAUCCUUUUUGGCGGAAGUCGAUGAUGACACUUCUAUGAGCUCUUUCUCGAUUUUGUUGACAUAGAUCUAAACUGGAAAACAUUCUGUCGUCUGCGUCUGAGGCGGAGAAAUCGGUGUAUCCAAAAAUGAAGGCGUCAAUGGUGCCGGAAAUUGGGGAAAUAACGGUGAAAAUGAUGAGCGAUGGUAGUAAGAGAAGAAGAUUAGGAAACUUUCAGCAAUUGAAGGAUUCGGUCGGUCAGAGCUCUGCGCCAGUUAAGAGGAGAAGUGUGAUCGGAGAGUGAAAUCCACCACUUGACGACCGUUCCUUCCAAAUCAUCCUCAGGUCGGUCAGUUCUUCUCAUCUCAAUUCAUUUCUAAUAAUUAAUGGCUCAGACAAACCCUAAUUUUCCAAACUUUUUACCCUGUUUGAUCAAUCAAUGUAUUCGAGUCAAUCAAUAUUAUGUUUCUUUAAUUAGUUGAUCAGUGAAACUCUUUCUUGACGGAAAAUGGAUGAAGGUUCGCCCCAUUGCACCUCAAAACAUUAUUUGGUUUAAGGGUUUUUUUUGGGGCAAACUGAUAUUAUUUUUUGGAUAUGAUCGAGAUUUUUCAUUUGGUAUAAGAAUUAGUUUCUGCAUCAAUAUCCCCAAAUUGUAGUAUAAUAUUCUGAUUCAUUUGAGAAUGUUUUGUUUCUGAUUUUUACCAAAAUGACAAAUGUAUCCUUUUCAUAUUCAUAUCCUGCUGCUGCGCUAAGAGAACCUAUGAGUGCACUGUUCAUAGUUGGAGUCUGGGUUUGAUGUACUAUCAGCCAAGCAAAAGGGAAACAAUGGAGGAAGAUACAUCUGCCACCCAGUAUGAAGAUUACACGAAAAAAGUCUAAUUCAGAAUUAAAAGUAUCAAUACAUUCCUCCACCACCGAAUCCUCCGCGUCUCUCUUCUCGGUCGGUCGGAGCUCUACGCCAGUUAAGAAAAGAAGUGUGAUCGGAGAGUGAAAUCUACCAACCGACAACCGUUCCUUCCACAUCAUCCUCAGAGAACCUAUGAGUGCACUGUUCAUAGUUGGAGUCUAGGUUUGAUGUACUAUCAGCCAAGCAAAAGGGAAACAAUGGAGGAAGAUACAUCUGCCACCCAAUAUGAAGAUUACACGAAAAAAGUCUAAUUCAGAAUUAAAAGUAUCAAUACACUCCUCCACCACCGAAUCCUACGCGUCUCUCUUCUCGGUCGGUCGGAGCUCUACGCUAGUUAAGAGGAGAAGUGUGAUCGGAGAGUGAAAUCCACCAACCGACAACCGUUCAACCGUUCCUUCCACAUCAUCCUCAGAACCUAUGAGUGCACUGUUCAUAGUUGCAGUCUGGGUUUGAUGUACUAUCAGCCAAGCAAAAGGGCAACAUUGGAGGAAGAUACAUCUGCCACCCAGUAUGAAGAUUACACGAAAAAAGUCCAAUUCAGGUUCAUACCCUUUAUUUACUAGUCAAUUUUCAGAUAGAUUUAUGCCUUGGUUUUGUAUUUUGGUAACUCUCACUACUGAAUGUGGUUUCUUUAUCAAAACUAGUCUUUCUGUUCAA